rnacentral:misc_RNA from 1 species
AAAGUCGUAACAAGGUAACCGUAGGUGAACCUGCGGUUGGAUCAUUAACAAAUGUUUGGUCUCGUGCCAAAUUCACACCUGUGUGCACCAUUGUCUGUAUUUGGUAGCUCGAGCGCGUUCUGGGGAGUCUCAACAGCUCCCAACAUAGGAACGCCUACCCCCGUGGGUAUCAUAUUCCCGGAAAGUGACGGGUCACGGGCCCGUGGUUAACGCCACGCGACCGCCGGAUCUGGAUGGGAAUCCGCUCGGGUUGGGCUACCGCCAUUUUUAUGAACCAACACAUCUGUCUUUUUCUGCCUGAACGAAGAGUUAAUCUUUGGUGAUUAAUGAUUUGAAAACAACUUUUGACAACGGAUCUCUUGGCUCUC